CGCGCAGGCGGUGAACGAAGUCGAGAGUGAAAGCCCUGGGCUCAACUCAGGAACAGCUCUCGAAACCAGUUCACUUGAAGGCGGAAGAGGGAAGUGGAAUUCCGAGUGUAGUGGUGGAAUGCGUAGAUAUUCGGAAGAACACCAGAGGCGAAGGCGACUUCCUGGUCCGAUCUUGACGCUGAGGCGCGAAAGCUAGGGGAGCAAACGG
rnacentral:rRNA from 1 species